rnacentral:tRNA from 1 species
AAUUAUUUAGCUUAAGUGAGCAGGGCAUUUUGAAAGUGUUUUAUUGUAUUUGACGUAUACAAAUAAUU